AGUGAACGCUGGCGGUAGGCCUAACACAUGCAAGUCGAACGGCAGCACAGUAAGAGCUUGCUCUUACGGGUGGCGAGUGGCGGACGGGUGAGGAAUACAUCGGAAUCUACUUUUUCGUGGGGGAUAACGUAGGGAAACUUACGCUAAUACCGCAUACGACCUACGGGUGAAAGCAGGGGAUCUUCGGACCUUGCGCGAUUGAAUGAGCCGAUGUCGGAUUAGCUAGUUGGCGGGGUAAAGGCCCACCAAGGCGACGAUCCGUAGCUGGUCUGAGAGGAUGAUCAGCCACACUGGAACUGAGACACGGUCCAGACUCCUACGGGAGGCAGCAGUGGGGAAUAUUGGACAAUGGGCGCAAGCCUGAUCCAGCCAUACCGCGUGGGUGAAGAAGGCCCUCGGGUUGUAAAGCCCUUUUGUUGGGAAAGAAAGGCAGCAGGUUAAUACCCCGCUGUUCUGACGGUACCCAAAGAAUAAGCACCGGCUAACUUCGUG
rnacentral:rRNA from 1 species